rnacentral:rRNA from 1 species
AUUGAACGCUGGCGGCAGGCCUAACACAUGCAAGUCGAACGGUAACAGGAAGCAGCUUGCUGCUUUGCUGACGAGUGGCGGACGGGUGAGUAAUGUCUGGGAAACUGCCCGAUGGAGGGGGAUAACUACUGGAAACGGUAGCUAAUACCGCAUAACGUCGCAAGACCAAAGAGGGGGACCUUAGGGCCUCUUGCCAUCGGAUGUGCCCAGAUGGGAUUAGCUAGUAGGUGGGGUAACGGCUCACCUAGGCGACGAUCCCUAGCUGGUCUGAGAGGAUGACCAGCCACACUGGAACUGAGACACGGUCCAGACUCCUACGGGAGGCAGCAGUGGGGAAUAUUGCACAAUGGGCGCAAGCCUGAUGCAGUCAUGCCGCGUGUAUGAAGAAGGCCUUCGGGUUGUAAAGUACUUUCAGCGGGGAGGAAGGGAGUAAAGUUAAUACCUUUGCUCAUUGACGUUACCCGCAGAAGAAGCACCGGCUAACUCCGUG